GGGGGAGAGUCGGUAGGCUCCAGUGGGGCUGGGGUGUUUCUCUUUCGCGAGCCGCUAGCUGCCUUAGCCGAGCGCAGCUGGAAGGAAGGCAUGGGGCUGAAAGCUGAGAAUGAGGGGCAACAGGUGUCUGUGGUCUGGGUGGAGGAGGCAGGCAAGGCAGCAGUUUUGGGCGUCCCUCAGGCAGGGAAGACGCCCACUUGGUUGGUACUACCGCUAACUGAACACGCUGAGUACAUCAGGAACUUAGUGUCUUAAUGUUGAAUAUGCGCCUGGGACAUCUCAAAGUGUGGUUAACGCCUGCUUCUGAAAGGAGGGGGAACCGAACCCUGGAAAUUACCAUUUACUCUAAUGGGGCAGGCAACCUGAGCUUGACCAAGGCCUUUUGCUCAAGCCUGGCUUUUGGGCUGUAAUUUGGUUUGCAAACUGGCCUAGGAGCCUUGGAGUCCCCCAGUCAGGGCACCUGGUAGCUCUGGCCCAGCUUUUGUCCUCCUUUGGCAGAGGAGUUCCUCUUUGGCUGUUGGCCUGGUUCUUUCCAAGAUGGACAGAGUCUCUACUUUCAGUUUUGAAAAAGUGGAGAUGUAUGGGUCAGCAGGGUUGUAAACCCAGUGAUGACUGUAAUCCAAGAUGUUUAUCAAGACUGAGGGUACCAAGGUCUUGGGCACAGUCUAAAUACCUAACAAAGCACUGGCUUGGCUUUUCCUGCCAAAAGUUCUGAUCAUGCAGGCCUGGUGCGGUGGCCUAGCAGCUGAAGUCCUUGCCUUGAAUGUACUGAGAUCCCAUAUGGGCGUCGGUUCUAAUCCUGGCACCCCUGCUUCCCAUCUAGUUCACAGCUUGUGCCCCAGGAAAGCAGUCGAGGACGGCCCAAAGCCUUGGGACCCUGCACUCACAUGGGAGACCCGGAAGAGGCUCUGGGUUCUUGGCUCCUGGCUUCUGAUUGGCUCAGCUCUCUCUCUCUCCUCCCCUCUGUAAAUCUGACUUUCCAAUAAAAAUAAAUAAAUCUUGUAAAAAA